CCUACGGGGAGGCAGCAGUGAGGAAUAUUGGUCAAUGGGCGCUAGCCUGAACCAGCCAAGUAGCGUGAAGGAUGACUGCCCUAUGGGUUGUAAACCUCUUUUAUAUGGGAAUAAAGUGCAGUAUGUAUACUGCUGUGCAUGUACCUUAUGAAUAAGGAUCGGCUAACUCCGUGCCAGCAGCAGCGGUAUUACGGAGGAUCCGAGCGUUAUCCGGAUUUAUUGGGUUUAAAGGGAGCGUAGACGGGUUGUUAAGUUAGUUGUGAAAGUUUGCGGCUCAAUCAUAGAAUUGCAGUGGAUACUGGCAUGCUUGAGUGCAGUAGAGGUAGGCGGAAUUCGUGGUGUAGCGGUGAAAUGCUUAGAUAUCACGAAGAACACCAGUGGCGAAGGCGGCCUACUGGACUGUAACUGACGCUGAUGCUCGAAAGUGUGGGUAGCAAACAGGAUUAAAUACCCGGGUAGUC
rnacentral:rRNA from 1 species